rnacentral:rRNA from 1 species
UACAUAGGGGGCGAGCGUUAUCCGGAAUUAUUGGGCGUAAAGGGUACGUAGGCGGGCCUGCAAGUCUGAUUUGAAAGCACACGGCUUAACCGUGUGAGGUAAUUAGAAACUACAGGUCUAGAGAGUGGUAGAGGUAAAUGGAAUUCCAAGUGGAGCGGUGAAAUGCGUAGAGAUUUGGAGGACACCAGUGGCGAAGGCGGUUUACUGGGCCACAUCUGACGCUGAUGUACGAAAGCGUGGGGAGCAAACAGGAUUAGAUACCCCUGUAGUCCCUGAG